rnacentral:misc_RNA from 1 species
GCUUAAUUUCUCAGUUGUGGAUUGAUUUUUGUUGUUACACGUUGGUUUUAGGAUUUUGCUGGUUACGAUCUGAGGUUUAGAGGCUUAAUUUGAUGUUCUGUAUUUGGAUUGCGAAGUUAGGGUUUCUUAAUUUUAGUUUUAUUUUUUGAAGGUAUAGUCUGUCUCUUUCCCACUUUUGGUGUGUAUUUUUGUCUUUGGAGGGGAUAAUUGUCGUUUUUCACAGGAAGCAAUUUACUUGGUUUAUUGUGUCUAUAAUUUAAUGAAAUUUUGCCAUUCAUAGUUUUGUCUACCACUAAAAUUUGUACCUGCAAGUCUGCAACUAUCUAUUCUUUAUUGCUAAUGCUGUUUUCUCAAUCUUUGAAGUUUAUUGUUGAUUCGUAUGUUCAAUUGUUUUCCUGUUAAAGAAAUAAUUACCUAAUUUCAAGUUUACAAAGCUGUUUAGAAAAAGUUGGCAUUUUGCAACGUUAUUUUCUGGGUAUGUUAUUUUAUCUUUAAUUAUAUGAUACGAAAUGUUAGUUCAACUAAGGCCAGCCUUUGUUUAAAGGUACCAGCGUCUAUUGUUACAUGGAUGUAUAAUUCUCUUUCAGAGAAAGGAAAAAAAAA